CAGUCGCCGCGGUAAUACGUAGGUGGCAAGCGUUGUCCGGAAUUAUUGGGCGUAAAGGGCUCGCAGGCGGUUUCUUAAGUCUGAUGUGAAAGCCCCCGGCUCAACCGGGGAGGGUCAUUGGGAACUGGGAAACUUGAGUGCAGAAGAGGAGAGUGGAAUUCCACGCGUAGCGGUGUAAUGCGUAGAGAUGUGGAGGAACACCAGUGGCGAAGGCGACUCUCUGGUCUGUAACUGACGCUGAGGAGCGAAAGCGUGGGGAGCGAACAGGAUUAGAUACCCCCGUAGUCCCUGUCUCUUAUAC
rnacentral:rRNA from 1 species